UUCUUCCUCUUUAGCAAAGUAGCAAAAAUCUUUUUCUUCUCUCUUUACCUCUUUAUUUGAAAGGAACUUGUUGUUAAUUGUAAAUAUGGCCAAAUUGCUCCUUUAAAACUUUCGUGGUCACCCUUUAAAGGGUAGAAAAUUUUAUUGUUGUAGAUUUGAAAAAGUUGCCAAUGACGGAUGCGAUUUUUUUCGUCAGUAUGAUGUUGAAUUUUCUAAACAUUAUACCAAAGUCAUGUAUGAAUUAUUAAAGAGGGUAAAAAAUCACGAGGAAGAAAAGUCGAAGUUGAUGAAGAAAUAAAAGAUUUUUGUUUGGCGGCUUGUUAUUAUAAAUAUGAUUUGAUUUAUGAGGGAAUCUUCCAUUAUUUAGAUGUAUGGUAUUUUUAUAUGGGCAUGUAACCCCAUUUAUUUAAUUACAAUAUUGUUUAUAGUUUAUGGCCGAUGUUACCUAUUCAAUGUAAUUGAAAUUUUC
rnacentral:lncRNA from 1 species